GGAAGGGUGAGAGAGCGGCUUAUACUGCACGCUUGGAAAGCGUGUGUACCUUAACCGGUACCGUGGGUUCGAAUCCCACCCCUUCCG
rnacentral:tRNA from 1 species